rnacentral:lncRNA from 1 species
GUAUAAUUGGCUAGCAAAGCACAGGAAGAGGCAAACACAAGAAAAUUAUCCAAGAUUUGGAGUACUCUGCAACUGUAACAGUUGUGCAGUUGAAGAUUGUGCUAUUGAGUAGGAGCUGCUCAAGGGUGGGAUCCUGCAGAGCCUGAAGCUAAAUAUCAGCAUUUGCAUGACUGGAUCAUCACAAGAGCAGCAGAACUAAUGGCAAAAAUUGUUAGGGAUUUUCUGCUAGAAUUGAGUCUUCUGUCCCAAAGAACUGUCAGAAGUGACAGAAAUGCACAAGUGGGAGGAGAAAUGUGAUCAGUCACUCAUAAGAGAAAAUGAAACGAGUGAAGGCUUCCAGUCCUCCUACAUCCUGUCAUUUUGGCCAAGGCUGAAUUUUCACGGAGGUGCCCACACAUGA